AGCGUAGACGGAUGGACAAGCCUGAUGUGAAAGGCUGGGGCUCAACCCCGGGACUGCAUUGGAAACUGCCCGUCUUGAGUGCCGGAGAGGUAAGCGGAAUUCCUAGUGUAGCGGUGAAAUGCGUAGAUAUUAGGAGGAACACCAGUGGCGAAGGCGGCUUACUGGACGGUAACUGACGUUGAGGCUCGAAAGCGUGGGGAGCAAACA
rnacentral:rRNA from 1 species